GAUGUGUUCAGCUGGGCAGUUUUUCUGCUCCACAUGGAAUUCUACACAUGGCCUCUCCGUGCAGCAGAGUAUCCUCGACUUCCGUGCAGCAGCUGGGUUCUAGAAGAAAGUCUUCCAAGAAGAUCAGGCCCAAAAUGCAAACACUUAUCAGCCUAAUUACUGCCACAAAAUAACAAAGAAGAAACUGCAUGGAUCACCCUGGAUUUUGGAAAGUGCAGUGGGCAGGAGUCACUUUGCAGUGGUGAUGGUCCCUGCUGGGGCUGCUUGCAGGAUGAGAUGCGGCAGGAGCCACUUUGGAGAGACUCCCGACGAGUAGGGCAGGUUGGAUGGGGUGGAUCCACAGGAGAACACAGGCGCACACAGUGUUAUCAAGAAGAAAAACUGCUCCAAGAAUCGUACCAAAAUGUCACAACCAAACUGAACGUUAUCCUCAAGAAUCCUGUAUUUGAGGAUCCUGAUGACUUUUGUAAUAUCAAAGCUCAUGUUUUAA